rnacentral:rRNA from 1 species
AGAGUUUGAUCCUGGCUCAGGAUGAACGCUGGCGGCGAGCUUAACACAUGCAAGUCGAACAAGCAGCCAGCAGUGCUUGCACAGCUGGUGGGCGAGUGGCGAACGGGUGCGUAACACGUAGGAACCUGCCCUGGAGAGGGGGACAACGGCCGAGAAACGGGCGCUAAUCCCGCAUAGUCUCGCACUUCGGUGCGAGUAAAACUCAGGUGCUCCGGGAGGGGUUUGCGGCCUAUCAGGUAGUUGGUGGGGUAAAGGCUCACCAAGCCGAUGACGGGUAGGGGGCGUGAGAGCGUGGCCCCCCACACGGGAACUGAGACACGGUCCCGACGCCUACGGGCGGCAGCAGUGAGGAAUCUUGCCCAAUGGGGGAACCCUGAGGCAGCGACGCCGCGUGCGGGAUGAAGGCCUUCGGGUUGUAAACCGCUUUUCUGGGGGACGAGGAAGGACGGUACCCCAGGAAUAAGUCCCGGCUAACUACGUGCCAGCAGCCGCGGUAAAACGUAGGGGGCGAGCGUUAUCCGGAAUUACUGGGCGUAAAGGGCGUCUAGGCGGCAGCCUAAGUCUCGCGUGAAAGCUCCCGGCUCAACUGGGAGAGGGCGCGGGAAACUGGGCAGCUAGAGACUCGGAGGGGGGUGUGGAAUUCCCGGUGGAGUGGUGAUAUGCGUUGAGAUCGGGAGGAACACCAGUGGCGAAGGCGGCACCCUGGCCGAGGUCUGACGCUGAAGCGCGACAGCGUGGGGAGCAAACGGGAUUAGAUACCCCGGUAGUCCACGCCGUAAACGAUGACAACUAGGUGUCGGGGGUCCAAGGACGUUCGGUGCCGCAGCUAACGCGAUAAGUUGUCCGCCUGGGGAGUACGGCCGCAAGGCUAAACUCAAAGGAAUUGACGGGGGCC